UGGGGAAUAUUGCACAAUGGGCGCAAGCCUGAUGCAGCGACGCCGCGUGAGGGAUGACGGCCUUCGGGUUGUAAACCUCUUUCGCCAGGGACGAAGCGCAAGUGACGGUACCUGGAGAAGAAGCACCGGCCAACUACGUGCCAGCAGCCGCGGUAAUACGUAGGGUGCGAGCGUUGUCCGGAAUUACUGGGCGUAAAGAGCUCGUAGGUGGUUUGUCGCGUUGUUCGUGAAAACUCACAGCUUAACUGUGGGCGUGCGGGCGAUACGGGCAGACUGGAGUACUGCAGGGGAGACUGGAAUUCCUGGUGUAGCGGUGGAAUGCGCAGAUAUCAGGAGGAACACCGGUGGCGAAGGCGGGUCUCUGGGCAGUAACUGACGCUGAGGAGCGAAAGCGUGGGGAGCGAACAGG
rnacentral:rRNA from 1 species